rnacentral:rRNA from 1 species
UCCAAUAGCCAUACCUGCUUGUCAAUGCCCAAUCUCGUCAGAUCUUGGAAGCUAAGCAAGACCAGGCCUGGUUAUUACUUGGAUGGGAGACCGCUAGGACAGUGAGGCAGCUGUGGCU